GCGGAGAGGUGGCCCGUGGGCCCUCGUCGCUUCCUACCUCUUCUCCCUGUUCCCGUUCCCCAAUCGGCUUAAAUGCGCACCAAAACCAAAUCCAAUCCUCGAUCGGCCGCGUGCACGGCAUGGCGUCUCCGCCGCCGGAUCUACUAAUCGACGACGCCACCGCCGAGAUUCUCCUUCGCCUCCCACCGGAUGACCCAGCGUGCCUCGUGCGCGCCUCCCUUGUCUGCAAGGCUUGGCGGGAGCUCCUCUCUAGCCCCAUCUUCCUCCGCCGCUACCGCAGAUUCCACGGCGCGCCGCCCCUGCUUGGCUUCCUCUACAACAUCUACGACGAACGCCCCUGUGCUCGAUUCGUCGUCGCCGCCGACGCCGCCACCACCUUCCCCUUCUCUGCACCGGCGUUCGACCAAUUCGAUUUGUGGUUCAUCGAGUGCCGCCACGGGCGCGCGCUGCUACAAACUUUCGAGCGGCAUGCGCCCGCGCGCCUCGUCGUCUGGGACCUCAUCACGGGCGACCAGCAGCACAUACCAAUGCCCGUGCCCGGGUACCCUUACUUCUGCCGCACCGCAGCUGUUCUCUGCGCCGCGGAUGGCUGCGAUCAUCUUGACUGCCACGGGGGCCCAUACCUCGUCGUCGUCAUAGGCGCCUACGAAGAAGAUACUCUCAGGUGGGCGAGCGUCUACUCAUCGGAGACUGGCGUAUGGACUACGUCAUCCUCCAUUCAAAUUGAUGCCUACGUCGAGCAAAGGCCCAGCCUCCUUGCCGGUGACGCGCUCUACUUUAGCGCACAGGAAGGCAAAAUAAUUGUCAAAUACGACCUCAAUGGACAGAGCCUACAUGUGAUCAAUGCGCCGGAUAUGUUUGAGCCAACAGAGGGCAUUGCUGUGACCGUGGAGGACGGUGGUUUGGGACUCGCCGGAGUGAAGGAUGGCAACCUCCACCUGUGGUCAUGGCAGGCUGGUCCUGGCGGCAUUGCGGAAUGGGUGCAAGGCAGAAUCGUAAAGUUGAGGACGCUCUUCCCUAUUCUUAAACCGCUGGACUCACUUGAUGUGAUUGGCUUCCAAGAGGGCACAGAUACCAUUUUCAUUAGCAUAGAUAUGGAGGUCUUUGCAGUCACGCUCAGAUCGGAGCAGGUGAAGAAGGUAGGCAAGACGGGCUCCAAAUAUGCCAUGGCACCCUAUGUGAGCUUCUACACUCCAGAUCUUGCAAAGGGCAGAUUGCUAUCACCAUGAAGAUGCAGUGAUCCAUCCAUUAACAUGGCCGUGACACUAUUGACUUCUUAAGGAGAUGAUGAGUUAAAGUGUUUUUCCAGUUUGGACGGUUAUGGAAAAAAAGCAAGUUACCAUGUUCAUUCAGAAAAGUUUAGUUUCUUACCUGUGCAGUUUAAGUAAGGAACUGUAAGAACAGGAUAUCAUCGUCAAAAUGUCUAGUCUAUUAGUUAAGCUGUUUAAGGGAUUGGUUUGUUUUAUUGUGGCCUUUUCGCUAUUGUUAUUUUAUAAGGGAUGCCCUGUGUCUAUAGAAAGUGAGGCUUUCUCCAGCAAAUCGUGCAUAUAGCCGUGCAAAACACUGUUUUGCACUGUAGAUAGCACUAUUUGCAGAGUGGAGUUGAAAUAGGUGGUGGGAUAGGUAAUGAGAUAUGAGAGCUGCUGGAGAUAGCCUAACUAGAAGAACUGCACAACUCUAGUCUGAGCAGCUUAUAAAAUAGCAAUAGAUAGCAAUCAGUACCGAUCGGUUUAGCUCCGAUGUCGGUCGGUUCGACCGGCCAGUACUGAUCCAUGCACUGGAGAAUCAGUUGGUACCGACCCUUACCGGUGAGUACCGACCACAUGUUGCACGUGCCAUAUCCUGAUUGUUUCACACCUUUUUGACUGUUUGAAGUUCGAAACAUUUCAAAAAAUAUAUAUAAAUUUUCUAAAAACAACUGGCUCACUUGAUGUGAUUGGCUUCCAAGAGGGCACAUAUACCAUUUUCAUUAGCAUAGAUAUGGAAGUCUUCGCAGUCAUGCUCAGAUCGGAGCAGGUGAAGACGGUAGGCAAGACAGGCUCCAAAUAUGCCAUGGCACCCUAUGUGAGCUUCUACACUCCAGAUCGUGCAAAGGGAUUUCUAUCACCAUGAAGAUGCAGUGAUCCAUCCAUUAACGUGACCGUGGUACUAUUGACUUUUUAAAGGAGGUGAUGAGUUAAGGCCCUCCGCACUCAUACUAAUAUAAAUUUCUACCCUAAAAAGAAUAUUCUGUCCUAGUCAGCAAAAUUCUUUAAUCUAUACCACAAUUCUCCGCACACAUGUUUACUCUAUAUCUCAACCCUAUACUAAUUAUCAUAUAUAAUUUUAUUUCUUCCCAA